GUUUUCUAUGAUCAUUUUGGCAAUACAUAUGCUAAAAUUAGAAUGACACAAAGAUAAACAUGGCCUCUGCACAAGGAUGACAUGCAAAUUCAUGAAGCAUUCCAUAAUUUU